GGGCAAAGUCCAGCUGAGCUCAUUAAUCAUAUUAGAGUCACCUUUCCUGCUCAGGGAUCAGGAGCAGCAAGAGCUCACAAUCUUCUUUCGAGUAGUUUUUUCAUAGAUUUGAAGGAAGAAUGGAUCCAAGAGCAAAACAACAGCUUCAAUUAAGCCUGGGAGACUAGAAAAGAAGGUCUACUGAGAGUGCAGCUGGGAAAAGCAGGAGAGUUAGCUGGGGUCCUAGCUGAUCUCAGCCACACCUCUGUCAUGUGUCACGACUGAGCAGCACUGAGAACAAGACCUCAAGGCAGGCAGGGUGAAGAUGGGAGGGCCUUGCCCCAGCAUUGACCGUGUGGAUUAACCUCCUGUAACUCAUACAGUUCACAGACUCCUCUCCUGCACAGACACCCGCAGCACAGCCACUUGCAUUUGAAACCCACCAGGUUCCAGGAAAGGCUUGUGACCGACAGGUCAGUGCGCUAAAGCUGUGAGCCAACAACAGGGACUUCCACUUCUGCUUUCCGAGAUCAAGCUGUCUCGGGAAAAUGCUGACGCGUCUCCACUUCUCUUCCUGUCUCUGUCUUCCUGUUGAUCUGUGUGUGCUUUUAUAGCUUUAUCACUUAACACUUGUUCCACUUCAUCCCAAAAGAAUAAAGGAGAUGAGUAACGAAUUCAGACAACCUGCUAGUCCCAAUUCAGUUGAACCCCUCUUAAGGCAGCCAAGAGUAAAAAUCUCAGAUUUUAAAAGAUGAUGGGCACAUUAUGAAGUGAUUAUUCACACUACAAAACAGUUUUUAGAACCCAGAAUGAUAAAGCUGAAAAGGGAUCUUAG
rnacentral:lncRNA from 10 species